ACAGGUCUAGAAUCAUAGAGUUGGAAAAGACAACAAGGGCCAUCCAGUUCAGUCUGCUACCAUGCAGGAAGACACAAUCAAAUCACUCCUGACAGAUGGCCACCCAGCUUCUGCUUUAAGAUUUCCAAAGAUGGGGACUCCACCACACUCUGAGGCAGCAUAUUCUGCUGUCAAACAGCUCUUACCAUCAGGAAGUUCUUUCUAGUGUUUAGGGUUUUUUGUUUUGUUUUUGUAGUUUGAAUCUUGUAGUUUGAAUCCUGUUGGAUUAGACCAAAAUCCAUCAUGUCCAGCAUGAUGUUUUUAAGACUGACCAACCAAAUGCUUACAGGAAUCCCAUAAAUCAAGACAAUCCUUUCCUUUGUGAUGGUUACCAGCAUCUUUCCUUUAUGUUGAAUACCAGCAUCUGAUAUUCAGCAUGGCUUAUAAACAGCUUAGAACAAAAAAAUAAAAAUAAUGACUUGCUUGUCCUUAAUUGCAAUAGCAAAAAAUAUAACUAAGGAUACGUCUACAUUGUAGAACUAAUGCAGUUUGACAUUAAUUUAAGUGCUAUAGCUCCAUCCUAUGGAAUCCUGAGAUUUGUAGUUAUACAAAGAGUUUUUGCCUUCUCUCCCAAAGACUGCUGGUGCCUCACAAAACCACAAAUCCCAGGAUCCUGUAGGAUGAAGCCAUGGCAGUUAAAGUGGUGUCAGAUUGCAUUAUUUCAACAGUGUAAAUACAUCCAGAGUUCCAUUAUGACUGUAACUUAAUUAGGAAUAGCAUCAAUCUCUUUGCAGUGUAGCUAUAAUGAUUUAAUUAUCUUUAGAAUUACAGGUGUAGAGGAUUCCUAAAAGCUGCAGGAGGACUGCCUAUCAUUCUUGCUCAUGCUGUGCCCGGACCCAAGUUGGCCUUUAGUUAUCCCUGUUGAAUUCAUUCAAAGUAAUAAUCCUGCUGAUAUAUUUUACAUGGGCAAAAUCUGCUAGUGAAAAAGAGAGGAGAUACCUGCACAGAGGAUUGGCUUUUGCAGCAACCAAGUAUGCAUUAUACUGUAUAGCACCAUCUUUCUUUUUGAAGAUUUUCAAGGCUUGCCACAUGGGUCUGCUCACAUUUCAAUGUGAAAAUAACAUAUAAUGUGAACAUUUUGAUAGAAAUCAAAGAAAGCAAAGCCAUUAUU